rnacentral:misc_RNA from 1 species
UGUUUGCUCUAGAGUGUGGGCUGUAA